ACGUUUCAGCCAAACUUGAUGGCUUUCAUCAGGAUCUUAACAACUCAACUUUGAGUUGUUAAGAUCCUGAUGAAAGCCAUCAAGUUUGGCUGAAACG